CCUACGGGCGGCAGCAGUGGGGAAUAUUGGACAAUGGGGGGAACCCUGAUCCAGCCAUGCCGCGUGUGUGAAGAAGGCCCUCGGGUUGUAAAGCACUUUCAGUGAGGAAGAACGCCUGGUGGUUAAUACCCAUCAGGAAAGACAUCACUCACAGAAGAAGCACCGGCUAACUCCGUGCCAGCAGCCGCGGUAAUACGGAGGGUGCGAGCGUUAAUCGGAAUUACUGGGCGUAAAGCGCGCGUAGGUGGCUUGAUAAGCCGGUUGUGAAAGCCCUGGGCUCAACCUGGGAACGGCAUCCGGAACUGUCAAGCUAGAGUGCAGGAGAGGAAGGUAGAAUUCCCGGUGUAGCGGUGAAAUGCGUAGAGAUCGGGAGGAAUACCAGUGGCGAAGGCGGCCUUCUGGACUGACACUGACACUGAGGUGCGAAAGCGUGGGUAGCAAACAGGAUUAGAUACCCUUGUAGUC
rnacentral:rRNA from 1 species